AGAGUUUGAUUCUGGCUCAGGAUGAACGCUAGCGGCAGGCUUAACACAUGCAAGUCGAGGGGCAGCGCGAGGUAGCAAUACCUUGGCGGCGACCGGCGCACGGGUGCGUAACGCGUAUGCAACCUGCCCGUAACAGGGGUAUAACGGAGGGAAACUUCCACUAAUCCCCCAUAUGGCCAUGGAUUCGCAUGUUUCCAUGGCGAAAGCUUCGGUGGUUACGGAUGGGCAUGCGUGACAUUAGGUAGUUGGUAAGGCAACGGCUUACCAAGCCGACGAUGUCUAGGGAGCUGAGAGGCUUAUCCCCCACACUGGUACUGAGACACGGACCAGACUCCUACGGGAGGCAGCAGUGAGGAAUAUUGGUCAAUGGGAGGAAUCCUGAACCAGCCAUGCCGCGUGGGGGAAGAAGGCCCUAUGGGUUGUAAACCCCUUUUACGCCGGAGUAAUAAGGUCCAUGCGUGGAUCGAUGAGAGUACGGCGGGAAUAAGCAUCGGCUAACUCCGUGCCAGCCGCCGC
rnacentral:rRNA from 1 species